rnacentral:rRNA from 1 species
GAUGAACGCUGGCGGCGUGCCUAAUACAUGCAAGUCGAGCGAACAGACGAGGAGCUUGCUCCUCUGACGUUAGCGGCGGACGGGUGAGUAACACGUGGAUAACCUACCUAUAAGACUGGGAUAACUUCGGGAAACCGGAGCUAAUACCGGAUAAUAUAUUGAACCGCAUGGUUCAAUAGUGAAAGACGGUUUUGCUGUCACUUAUAGAUGGAUCCGCGCCGCAUGAGCUAGUUGGUAAGGUAACGGCUUACCAAGGCAACGAUGCGUAGCCGACCUGAGAGUACGAAGAGCCACAGGGGAAAUGAAACAGCGAGGAGCAAACGACGGGAGGAGCAAGGGGGGAAGGUUGGAGAAGGGGGGAAAACCUUAUACAGCUGUAAUGCGUGAGUAAAGAAGGUCUUAGGAUUGAAGAACCCUUUUGUGAGGAAAGAAAAGAAGCCGGGUAAUACCCACGUGCCCUGACGGUACCUAAUCAAUAAGCACCCGCACACUUCGGG